rnacentral:rRNA from 1 species
UACAGAGGUCCCGAGCGUUGUUCGGAUUCAUUGGGCGUAAAGGGUGCGUAGGCGGCGGGGCAAGUCUGAUGUGAAAUCCUGGGGCUCAACCCUGGAACUGCAUUUGAUACUGCGGUGCUUGAGGACUGGAGAGGAGACUGGAAUUUACGGUGUAGCAGUGAAAUGCGUAGAGAUCGUAAGGAAGACCAGUGGCGAAGGCGGGUCUCUGGACAGUUCCUGACACUGAGGCACGAAGGCCAGGGGAGCAAACGGG